GUUGAUGCCCCACCCCCUCUUGUCCUUUGCAACCAGGUUUACUUGCACACUUUUAUGCAGGCUGCAGCAGCCUUGUGCAUGAGUUGAUCCCUCUGGUGCCCGACUUGCCAGCCCUCUCCCAUACAGAGAGAGGAAAAAGUCUGAAGACACACAUAUUUCCCAAAUUCAAUAUCUUGAGUAGCUGAAUCAUGCCCAGCUCAGAUGAAUCAGGGUAUUUAAGGAAUGUCCUAAGAUAUGCAGUUGGCAAGCUGGAGACCCAAGAAGAGCCAAUAUUUCAGUUUGAGUCAGAAGGCAGGAAAAGACUAAUGUCCCAUCUCAAAGCAGUCAGGCAGAGGGAGUUCCCUCUUGUUCUCACUCAAGGAAGGCUCUGCUAAUGAACGUUGAUGCAGUGCAUCUGCCCACCAGAUGGCGCAGUGCUCCCGCUGUUCCGAGGCUCAGCUACCCUGAGGGAGGCAGGGAAUUUUGAUCAGCUUCUGAAGAAUCACCUCAUCUCUCCCUGCAGAGAGCCCAGAGCACAAGACUUCACGUUAUGUCAAAUCUCUUGCAAAAGCCCAGCUCCUAGAGAGCAGGAGCCUUCCCAGACUGUGUCAAAUUACCUCGGGGAUGGAGAGACUUACAUGGCACUAACAGAAAUCAAAUGGCAGAGCUCAGGUUUCCGUGAGUCUUCUGAGGUUCAGAAGGGUGAGAUGACACAUUCAAGGUCACAUGGCUCAUUUGUGUUGGAGUCAGAAGUUUCCAGAUUUCUUGACUUUUAGUCCAAGGAGCAGUCCCUGUGCAUGUGUCAGAGUUGAACAAGCCGGAAAAUAAAGGCACUACAUUUUCUCUGGUAAAAAUGUCUCUUAACAUUUUCAUAUCCUGUUGGUUUUCCAGGAAACAUAGAAAUACGCUGUAAGAAAUAAUCUCAAAAUUGACGUGAUGGAUUAAAGAUGAAAAAACAUGCCUUGGAAUACCUAAUGGGAACAUUAGUCUAUGUCUACACCCAGAUCAACAUGACUGAAUAUAGCUUUCUUAAAAAAGCAGUUGAAUUCAGCCUUUAUUUUUCUGUCGUGUCUCCAAGAGAAGAGUAAAGAGAAGAACUGGCAAAGACUUGUGAGGGGCUUCACGCUGCCACUCUGAGUGGCACAAUGCCCAGCUUGUGGUUCACAGUGUGCUCCAUCUUGGUGAACAUGCCUCCAGAGCUGGGUGGGACCGUUCCUGUGGUCCUCCUGCAGCCGGCUGGUGCGGGGAAGCAAGAGAGGUCUGAGGCCGAGCUGGGCCCCAGGGGCAAGCUGCUGUUGAACAUUUCCUGCUGCCAUCCACCUUUCUAAGGGCAGGAGAAUGUUGGUUUUACAGAGCUGGCAGAUCUGACUCAUAAAAAUCACUUAACCCGGUAUUUUAAUUGCCCAGAAUCCAGGUUGCUGCCUCAAUUUUUUUUUCUUUUUGGAGAUGGGGUUUUGCUCUUGUUGCCCAGGCUGGAGUGCAAUGGGUGAUCUUG
rnacentral:lncRNA from 1 species